rnacentral:rRNA from 1 species
CCUACGGGAGGCAGCAGUGAGGAAUAUUGCUCAAUGGGGGAAACCCUGAAGCAGUAACGCCGCGUGAGGGAUGAAGGCGCUCUGCGUUGUAAACCUCUGUAGUCGGGGACAAAACGGCAGUUACUACUGCCUUGAUGGUACCCGAAAAGUAAGGAUCGGCUAACUACGUGCCAGCAGCCGCGGUAAUACGUAGGAUCCAAGCGUUGUCCGGAUUUACUGGGUGUAAAGGGUGCGCAGGCGGACUGGUAAGUCAGAGGUGAAAUCUCGGCGCUCAACGCCGAAACUGCCUUUGAUACUAUCAGUCUUGAAUACGGUAGAGAUUCGUGGAAUUCCGAGUGUAGCAGUGAAAUGUGUAGAUAUUCGGAAGAACACCAGUGGCGAAGGCAGCGAAUUGGGCCGUUAUUGACGCUCAGGCACGAAAGCAUGGGGAUCAAACAGGAUUAGAGACCCUGGUAGUCCAUGCCCUAAACGAUGUACACUUGAUGUCGGUCUUUCAGGUCGGCGUCGGAGCUAACGCGUUAAGUGUACCACCUGGGGAGUACGCUCGCAAGGGUGAAACUCAAAGGAAUUGACGG